rnacentral:rRNA from 1 species
UCUGCCCAUCAGACGGGGACAACGAUUGGAAACGAUCGCUAAUACCGGAUAGGACGAAAGUUAAAGGUGCUUCUGGCACCGCUGAUGGAUGAGCCUGCGGCGCAUUAGCUAGUUGGUAGGGUAAAGGCCUACCAAGGCGACGAUGCGUAGCCGACCUGAGAGGGUGAACGGCCACACUGGGACUGAGACACGGCCCAGACUCCUACGGGAGGCAGCAGUAGGGAAUCUUCGGCAAUGGGCGAAAGCCUGACCGAGCAACGCCGCGUGAAUGAUGAAGGCCUUCGGGUUGUAAAAUUCUGUUAUAAGGGAAGAACGACUUUAGUAGGAAAUGGCUAGAGUGUGACGGUACCUUAUGAGAAAGCCACGGCUAACUACGUGCCAGCAGCCGCGGCAAUACGUAGGUGGCGAGCGUUAUCCGGAAUUAUUGGGCGUAAAGAGCGCGCAGGUGGUUGAUUAAGUCUGAUGUGAAAGCCCACGGCUUAACCGUGGAGGGUCAUUGGAAACUGGUCGACUUGAGUGCAGAAGAGGGAAGUGGAAUUCCAUGUGUAGCGGUGAAAUGCGUAAAGAUAUGGAGGAACACCAGUGGCGAAGGCGGCUUCCUGGUCUGUAACUGACACUGAGGCGCGAAAGCGUGGGGAGCAAACAGGAUUAAAUACCCUGGUAGUCCACGCCGUAAACGAUGAUUGCUA